AUUGAACGCUGGCGGCAGGCUUAACACAUGCAAGUCGAGCGAGCGGCGGACGGGUGAGUAAUGUCUGGGAAACUGCCUGAUGGAGGGGGAUAACUACUGGAAACGGUAGCUAAUACCGCAUCCCAUCAGAUGUGCCCAGAUGGGAUUAGCUAGUAGGUGGGGUAACGGCUCACCUAGUCGACGAUCCCUAGCUGGUCUGAGGGGAUGACCAGCAACACUGGAACGGAGACACGGUCCAGAGUCUUACGAGAGGCAGCAGUGGGGGAUGUUGCGCUAUGAGCGCGAGCCUGAUGCAGCCAUGCCGCGUGUGGGAGGAAGACCUUCGGGGUGUAAAGCACGUUCAGCGAGGAGGCGUUACCCGCAGAAGAAGCACCGGCUAACUCCGUGCCAGCAGCCGCGGGAAUAC
rnacentral:rRNA from 1 species